GCUUGCCACUUUGUGGUUCAUGACUGGGGUGAAGUCGUAACAAGGUAGCGCUAGGGGAACCUGGCGCUGGAUCACCUCCUUACACGAUGAU
rnacentral:rRNA from 1 species